rnacentral:rRNA from 1 species
AGAGUUUGAUCAUGGCUCAGAUUGAACGCUGGCGGAAUGCUUUACACAUGCAAGUCGAACGGCAGCACGGGAGCUUGCUCCUGGUGGCGAGUGGCGAACGGGUGAGUAAUGCGUCGGAACGUACCGAGUAAUGGGGGAUAACGCAGCGAAAGCUGUGCUAAUACCGCAUACGCCCUGAGGGGGAAAGUGGGGGAUCGCAAGACCUCACGUUAUUCGAGCGGCCGACGUCUGAUUAGCUAGUUGGUGGGGUAAUGGCCUACCAAGGCGACGAUCAGUAGCGGGUCUGAGAGGAUGAUCCGCCACACUGGGACUGAGACACGGCCCAGACUCCUACGGGAGGCAGCAGUGGGGAAUUUUGGACAAUGGGGGCAACCCUGAUCCAGCCAUUCCGCGUGAGUGAAGAAGGCCUUCGGGUUGUAAAGCUCUUUCAGCUGGAACGAAACGGUACAGGUUAAUACCCUGUGCUAAUGACGGUACCGGCAGAAGAAGCACCGGCUAACUACGUGCCAGCAGCCGCGGUAAUACGUAGGGUGCGAGCGUUAAUCGGAAUUACUGGGCGUAAAGCGUGCGCAGGCGGAUUGUUAAGCAAGAUGUGAAAUCCCCGGGCUUAACCUGGGAAUGGCAUUUUGAACUGGCAGUCUAGAGUGCGUCAGAGGGGGGUGGAAUUCCACGUGUAGCAGUGAAAUGCGUAGAGAUGUGGAGGAACACCAAUGGUGAAGGCAGCCCCCUGGGAUGACACUGACGCUCAUGUACGAAAGCGUGGGUAGCAAACAGGAUUAGAUACCCUGGUAGUCCACGCCCUAAACGAUGUCAACUGGUUGUUGGGGGAGUGAAAUCCCUUAGUAACGAAGCUAACGCGUGAAGUUGACCGCCUGGGGAGUACGGUCGCAAGAUUAAAACUCAAAGGAAUUGACGG